rnacentral:tRNA from 1 species
GGAAAGUUAGUUUAAAUAAAAACGCUAACUUGUCAAGUUAGAAAUAUAAGAUUAUACUAUCCU